GACGAACCGUGCGAACGUUAUUCGGAAUCACUGGGCUUAAAGGGCGCGUAGGCGGGUCGGUAAGUCAGGGGUGAAAUCCCACGGCCCAACCGUGGAAGUGCCUCUGAUACUGCCGGCCUCGAGGGGGAUAGGGGCGUGCGGAACUCAGGGUGGAGCGGUGAAAUGCGUAGAUAUCCUGAGGAACACCGGUGGCGAAAGCGGCGCGCUGGAUCCCUUCUGACGCUGAGGCGCGAAAGCUAGGGGAGCGAACGGG
rnacentral:rRNA from 1 species